CACGUUUCUCUCUCGCCGCACCCAGCAGCGCCUCCUAACCCCUCUCAGCAGCGCGAACCGGCGAACCCAUCAGCGACGUUCAGCCCCUCCCAACAGCGCAAACCGUCGAGCACAGCCCCUCCCAGCAGUGCCGGACCAGCCACCCACCAGUGUCGGACCAGCCCCUUCCAUCCCCUCCUAGCGCCGAACACCAGAUAUAGAGCCUCCAAGUCAGUUGCUAUAAGGAAUUAAUGCUCCUGAAAGUGUAAUGCCAUAUGGAAAGGAUGCUAAAAAUGAACCAACAAAGAUUGUUCAAGGAAAGUCUUUGAGGGUCCUUGUAUAUGGAGAAGAUCGCUAUGGUCGUUGUGUCGGUGAUCUCUACUAUAAUGGCAUUUUUGCACAGGAAAUGAUGCUGAAGAAGGGUUUAGCAUGGCACUACUAAGCCUAUGACAAAAGUCCAAAACUAGAAGCAUGGGAAAACAAGCAAGAGCAGAGCGAGUUGGAUUAUGGGCCUCAAAGAAUCCAGAGAACCCUGUGCCUGGAUAUAUAUAUAUAUAUGGUCUUUUAAUAAAUAAGGAAUUCAUUUUCUUAUGUGUUUGUGUUUUGCUGAAUUGUUAACACAUUAGUCACUUUAAACAGUAGAAUAUGUAGUUUUUUUUAUCUAUAACUGUGAAACAUUGGACCAAGACCUUUGUUAGUUAUUGCGUAUUUGUGUUCUAUGAUUGUGAAAUGGUAUGAUAGGUUUUUCUUU